UACGAAGGGGGCUAGCGUUGUUCGGAAUCACUGGGCGUAAAGGGCGCGUAGGCGGCUUUAUAAGUCGGGGGUGAAAGCCUGUGGCUCAACCACAGAAUUGCCUUUCGAUACUGUAGAGCUUGAGACCGGAAGAGGUAAGUGGAACUGCGAGUGUAGAGGUGAAAUUCGUAGAUAUUCGCAAGAACAUCAGUGGCGAAGGCGGCUUACUGGUCCGGUUCUGACGCUGAGGCGCGAAAGCGUGGGGGAGCAAACAGG
rnacentral:rRNA from 1 species